GAUGAACGCUGGCGGCGUGCCUAAUACAUGCAAGUCGAGCGAACGGACGAGAAGCUUGCUUUUCUGAUGUUAGCGGCGGACGGGUGAGUAACACGUGUAUAACCUACCUAUAAGACUGGUAUAACUUCGGGAAACCGGAGCUAAUACCGUAUAAUAUUUUGAAGCGCAUGGGUCAAAAGUGAGAGACGGUCUUGCUGUCACGUAUAGAUGGAUCCGCGCUGCAUUAGCUAGUUGGUAAGGUUACGGCUUACCACGGCAACGAUGCAUAGACGACGUCAGAGGGUGGUAGCCCGCCCUGGAACGUGACCGGGCUCCUGAGUCCUACGAGACGGAGCAGUCGCCUACCUGACGCAGCGGGGGGAAGCAUGGCGCAGCAGCGCCGCGUGAGAGACGAAGGCCUCCGGAUCGUAAAACUGUGUUAUUAGGGAAAAACCUAUUUGUAAGUAACCGUACCCAUAGUGACGGUAACUAAUAAGAAAGCCCCGGCUAACUACGUG
rnacentral:rRNA from 1 species